UAAUUUGUAGAAGAUGCUUCGGGUGUGGUGCCGGUCUAAGUUCCUUGGAACAGGACGUCAUAGAGGGUGAGAAUCCCGUAUGUGACUGGUUGCCUUCGCUCAUGUGAAGCUCUUUCGAC
rnacentral:rRNA from 1 species